UACAGAGACCCCGAGCGUUAUCCGGAAUUACUGGGCGUAAAGGACAAGUAGUCGGUGAUACUAGUCUGAUGUUAAAUCUCAUCGCUCAACGGUGAGGCCGCAUCAGAAACGGUAUUUCUAGAGCGAGUCAGGGGCAAGCGGAACGUGUGGUGUAGCGGUGAAAUGCAUUGAUAUCACACGGAACACCAAAAGCGAAGGCAGCUUGCUGGGGCUUUGCUGACGAUCAAUUGUGAAAGCGUGGGGAUCAAAAAGG
rnacentral:rRNA from 1 species